UCCAAAUCAUUUUAAUGUCUGGCUUGGUAA
rnacentral:piRNA from 1 species